CCUUGUUGUGUGUGCCAAGGUCGCAACUCCUCGCAAUUUCGAACAGACCGACAGACGUCUCAUACACCUGGAUCCAUAACACCUGCAAAAUUGGUAGUCACGGAAAGGCAUGACAGAGGACGACACGUAUAAAUCACUUGUCCUCCUUU
ensembl:ncRNA T21B6.7 ncRNA